rnacentral:rRNA from 1 species
UACGGAGGGGGCGAGCGUUGUCCGAAGUUACUGGGCGUAAAGCGCGUGUAGGCGGGUUGCCAAGUCCGCUGUGAAAGCCCGAGGCUCAACCUCGGAGGGUCGGUGGAUACUGGCAGUCUUGAAGGUGCUAGGGGGAGAUGGAAUUACCGGUGUAGCGGUGAAAUGCGUAGAGAUCGGUAGGAACACCAGUGGCGAAGGCGGUCUCCUGGAGCAUUCUUGACGCUGAGACGCGAAAGCUGGGGGAG